rnacentral:lncRNA from 1 species
ACUCUGUUUCUCAGAAAUAUCUGUAUUUCACAAUACCUUUAUUCUAUUCUAUCAAUUUAAAAAAUGUCUCUUUAAAAUUAAAAACAAGUAAUAUGAUUAUUUCAUACUAUUUGUUUGUUUAAGUCUAUGUUUGCAUAAAGAUACUUUUCAUUGAAAAUGAGCAAACAUUCAAGUUAAUAAUGCAUGUGUACAAGUUUAUCUGCAUCAUACACCAUUUAAUGUUUGUGAGAAUGGCAUUCAUUCACUGUAGUUACCAGCUUGAAACAUCCAAUAGGUUUGUGGGCAAUGUGAUUACUGUGGAAUAGAGUUGAUGCUUGACACCUGAAUGAAGUAGCAACUAAUAUACAGAACUCUCUACCUAGAUUUUUGAAAUAUUGUAGAUGAGAUAGUUUGUGUUUGCGCUUCAGUUACUCAAAAGCUACUAUGUAUGUUAAUUUCAAAUUUUGCAUGAACACUGAAAUAAUGUCGGAUAACAUUCAAGUUAUUUCAUUGAUACUUCUCAAAACUGUUUCAUUCUCCGACUCCAGGAACCCAAAACAGUGGUUUGUCCUUUAAUUUAAAGUCCAAUUAUUUUAAAGUAGACCAAGAGACAAGCAUAUUUCCCAUAGACCAGUGUCUCAGAAGUGCUUGGUAUCCCAUUAUAAAAAAAGAUAUGCGUACGAAGUCUCCAUUACUCAGCGGUAAAUUGUAUAGUCACAGGUAACAGCUAGUUAAAAAAAAUAUUCGUGUAAUUGUAAGUCUCUGUAAAUGUUCUUCAAAUCUCAAGAAUAUAAUCACAAAGUACAAAAUAGAUUCAACAUAUGAAAAGUUCAUAGACUGCUGAUCCGCUUAAGUCAUAUCAAACACAUGGAGCGUAUUGUUUUAUGAUAUUAUCAGAAUUACAAUUCUUGUUGGGAUGUAGAUCCACAAUAUAAUUUCAAAUAUUAGAAAUGGAAUAAUUGUAUAAUUAUGGGAUGUAGAUCCAUAAUAUAAUUUCAAAUAUUAGAAAUGGAAUAAUUUUAAUUUGAUUUUGUUUGCUUUGGAAAACUACGUAGUCAGUUUCCAACCCAAGGCCAUUUUUAGGAAACUAUAGCAAUGCUUCCUCAAUACUGGUGUUUGUACGAACGAUUGCUGUAGAUGCCAUUGUUUUGUGAUAUUUUACAAGAUUAAUUGUAGACAUAGAUAGCUAUUUUGUUAUAUAAUUAAGUUUAGCAAGAUAUCAUUAAUAUAAAUAAGAAACUAGACAGUCUGGGGUAUACAUAAUUAUGGUUUGGACCUCAGUAUAACCAAUUAUAUCUCUACUUUAAACAACUCUUGGUAUGAGCUAGAAGGGUUAUGCCAUUCACAUCUAUCUGAAGUUUACAAUAACGACACUGUAUUAUAUACAGUCAGGUGUAAAGGUUACAGAAAAGCGAAUAAAUAAAAAUGCGUGGGGAGUAGCCUUUUUUGUUUAUAACUAAAAUAUUAUUCAUAUUAUGUAACAGAAAAAGUUGAUAUAUUAUUUAGUAAAGAGUUUGUAGCACAAAGUAGUCUUUAUUUUUAAAAUACAGGUCAAAUGAAGGGGUUUUUAUGUUUGACAGAUGUUUUGUAUCUGAAUAUAAUCCUAAUAAUUUCAGAAAUUUAUAUACUAAAAUAACAGUUUACCUGACUUAAAAAUUAACAAUAAUAAAUCUUUGUUUAUAUUUUAAUUUGAAAUUACUUUAUUUUAAUCUAGACUACACGAGUUCAGUUAUUUGACUAAGAAGUCUAUUAGUAUCUUGUUUGAGCUGUGUAUUUUCAAGCAGUAAGGCAUUCCCUACUUCAGCAGCCAGGGUAAGGGACGUUUCCAGGUCCGUCUCCUCCAACUCCCGGUAGUUAUUUAUUUUUUCUACCACAUUACCUAUGCUAAUAUAAAUAUCUGUGCUUUGUUCUAGAGUGUUUUCACAAUCUGGGUUUUUAAAAGUGUCCUGACUGAAAUGGGGAAGAUGAAAGCUAUUUUGGAUGUCCCUUUGGUCUCUUAGAUGGUCAUCCUUACUUUUGUAGUUAUCUUGUUUAAAAAUGAUGUCAGAUUGAACAGUAUCGUCAGAGGUUAAAGUUUGCAGAGCUGACUUGGCUUCCAUUAGUGCUUUGUUGAAGACUUUGUUUUUAAAGCUGUCUAAUUAUGAUUUCAAUAUAAAAAAAAUAUUAAGAAACUUUGAAAGAAUCUGAAGCCCUGGCUGAUAGAGAGCCCAUCAUUAAAGAAGAGAGGUCUAGGAAUGGAGACCUGGCUCAUAGGUUUAAGCAUUUUUAUGUGGCCAUAUUUCUCUUGUCACCAUUCUCACUCCAAGGACUACUCUUCUGUCACGUAAACAAACAAAAAGAUGCAAAUGAAGCUUUGGAGAUGUGCUGUAGAAAUUGAUUCAUAUUCUCCCUUCUAAAUUCCUGCUCAUUCAGGAAAUAAUUUACAAACUUUGCUGGAAGACUUCUAGCUCUCACUUCCACAGCAUAAAAGUGACACUUGAAACCACAUAUAACUUAUAACCAGUAUAUAAGUUGUUAAGUGUUCUAACUUGGUUGUUAUGGUUUUGUAACAUUUGACAGAGACUCUACUCAUACUCAGCUUAAACAGGCAUUGUUUCAGAAUAUUUAUCUCCCAUGGAACAGUUACAGUAGCUCAACAAUAACCUUUAAAUAGUCUGUCAGAGAGUGAAGUGACUUGGUGUUACACUAGGUCAGGUUGGAAUAAAGUAACAAACAAGACUGAUGAAAUACAUCAUCUCAACACAGAUGAUCCAAUCCACUGAUGCCUCAAUAAUGGAUAGAAUAACCUCUGUGGUUGUUUUUAAUUUCUGUCCAGACCUAUCAAACACUAUAUGCUGUAUCACCUGCAGAUUCUAAUUUUUCUUAGAUCUAGCAAUAUAAAGACUUACAGCUUCUCAGAGGAUAGUGAGAACUUCAUAGUAUCACAGGGAUAUCUUCCAUCAAUCAAAGCUUUGGGGUAUUCCACAAGAAUGUGAAGUGCUAUUGUUAACUGUGAUGCUGAACACAGAUGACAUGUACCAUAUGAUCAAUUUGCCUCAAUUUGCUAAAUUUCUUGGAUUUUGCACAUUACAUUGCAUGGGUGUUAGCAUAAACAUUCAUACAUAGAGGCUCUAUUUUACAAUAAGAUGGUAUACAGGUGCUCAGGAAAGAAUGUUAUAAACUUCUUAACAAAUGUUAUUUCUAGAACUAAUCUUUACUAGCAUGACCGUUUUAAAGGUAUGCUCAAGCCAGGAGCAUUUAGUCAGUUGAAAGGCAUCAGCUGUAGACAUAUUUGUUGCUCCUGGCCUGUGCAAGUGUACCUUUAAAGUGGUCAUGCUUGCUUAUGUGUUGACCAAUUUCAUUGAAAAAAUGUAGUUGAAAUUGCAAUAUAAAUUGCAAAAUAUAUUAUAUAUAUUUUUUAGAACAAUAUUUGUUUUUUGUUGUUGUUGUUUUUUAAGAGACAUUUAUUAUACCUUAGCACUUUGAUCUCCCUUGAACUUGACUUAACUUAUAAAUUAAGUUGGUCUUAAUACAGUCAAACCUCGAUAAGACAAAUUUCAAGGGCUACAGAAAAAAUUCUUAUCGGGGUAUUUUUAAUAAAGAGGAUUCUUCAAUCGAGGUUUAAUACUAUCGUAAUUCGUCAUGUAGAGGUUUCUCCUCGCACUGAGAUAACCUCUAUAUUAACCUCGUAUCUCUGUGGCCAGCCUUUAUGAUAUGAACCAAUGUUAAUGUAACUGAAGCUAUUUUUAAAUGUCUAAAAGGCCUAGGUUAAAAAAAGACUGCAACAAGUUUUAAAACACGGUAUCAAUGUAGGUAUUAAAUCACUUGUACAUAUAGUUUUAUAAAUUUGUAUAUAAUAGAUCAGUAUAAAAAAUGAAAAAAAUUGCAAUCAAGUCUUGCAAAAGUCAUCAAUUUUUAUUGCUGGAAUCUAUUUGCAUGAGUUUUCCUAUAUUCAAAGUGGAAUCUAACUCGACGAUGGCUUCAUAUGGUUCCUGGAUAACAGUUCAGGUUGAUCACUCUCCGCCCAUGCAUCAUCUUUAGCUGCAUCAUCUUGAGGAUUUGAGGGUUGAACAGAAGCCAGAUUAUCUUCAUCCGUUAGAUCUCCAAAUACUUCUACAUCAUCACCGAACAAUCUUUUUCUUUCCAAUGAUCUCAUACUGUACUAUCCGCGUAUGCACUUUCGCUACACACAGUUUAAAAAUAUUUUAAUAUCGUUCCUUUUUUAAAGUUUUUCCAUCCAGCCAUUACUAGCAUAAAAAUCCCAAUUAUACAGCAAAGUUCUGAGCUUUUGCUUGCAGAAUAGGGCCUCCAAUUGACAAAUUUUUGUCACAGCAUUGUUUUAACCACUUUAAAGUGGCUUAUUCUACAUCCUGAAAUCCACCAGGUUUUGAGCAUUUUGUGUAACUUAGAAAGUCCACUUGUUUCAUUAUACUUGUCUCUAUUUUUUAUGAUGGUUGCUAACUUGGUUGAAGGGAUGUUAAACUUUUUUACAAUGAAAAUUUCCUUCUUUGCUAGGUUUUCUUCCUUAUGCUUCAAAAUUUUAUGCUUAAACUACACUGUUAGCACAGUUUUUUUUUCCUGCCAGCGCCAUACAAAUGUAACCAAAAUAGUACUGGACACUGCACAGGCACGUGCAAAACAAUGACUGUGGAAGGAAGAGGGAUGGGUGAGGUGGAUCCACUGAUUUCAUAUCGAGACAGUAGUUUGAGUCGCUCUUUGUUUUGAAAACUACAUACUUAUAUAGGUCAAGAGCGUAAAAUAUUUGUUCUAUAUAGGUUGCAUUCAUCUUGUAAAGGUUCUGUGUUAAGAUUAUUCUGUAUAGAAAUUAAUCAGUCCUAACCCAAAUCACAAAAAAAUCCUGUAAUAUUUAAUCAUUACAGGAUAUUUUAAUGUCAACAUAUUAGAAGAAUCUAAAGAGGCAAAGGAACUUAAAAACGUUUUAAGACGCCAUGAAAUGAAUUAAUUAAUUGUUUUCCGACUAGAGUGAUACCAACAUAAAUCAAGUAAACUUGAAAAUAAAAAAAAUCAGCUCUGUCUAUUUGCAGAUGACUAUAAACUAAUCAUAUCUGCCAAAACAGAAGCUGAGAUAGAAAUAACUGCACAUUUGAAACUUCAAAAAUUACCAAAUAUUUCAUUGUUAAUAGAUUGGUUUUAAAUACAGACAAAACCAACUUUAUCUCUUUCAGUACAAAACAAAAUAGAAAACAUUGAAGUCCUGAUAUCUUAAUAAAUUAUAUCUAUUUGGGUCAAGUUAAUAACACCAAAUUUCUAGGUCUCAUCAUAGACAAGAACCUUAGCUGGGAUUUGCACAUUGACCGGAUAGUUAAUCAUAUAAAUUCUAGAAUUUAUGCUAUUAAAAGGUUGUCUUAUUUGUGCAGUUUACUGGUAAUAAAGAUGGUUUUACAUGCCCAUUUUCAAUCCUAUAUUGCAUGCGGAAUACAAGUGCAUGGAGUGUUUACAAACCAAAACUUAAAUGAAAUUCUUCUACUACAAAAAAGCACUGCGAACAAUAUUAAAAAUUGAGAAGGAAGAUUAAGUUACAAUUAACUUUACUGAACCGAGCAUUUUAACAGUGCAUAAUCUUUACAUUUUAGAAUGUGUUAAUGCAUGUUAGGACUAAUCUACUUUCUACUAAAUCUACUUUUAAAAGCCAUUGUGAAACCCAUUAUUAUAACACUAGGAAUAAGAAUGAAUUCAUUUUACCUAAACAUAAUUUAAAGUAUUUCACAAAAAAAUUUCUUUUGCUGAAAUAAAAUUUCUGAAACGUGUUAAAAAAAUAAUAACAAAUAUUGAAGAUGUCAAGAAUUUUAAACUGAAGGUAAAAGAAUAUUUAAUUAAAAAUGCAUUUUAUUUAUUUCAAGAAUUCUAUACAAUGACAUGGUUAUGAAACCUUCAUUACUUUAAUUGUUAAAGUAACUUAGUUGUAGUUGGCACAAUUUAUUGUAUGUAUGUAUAAUACAAAUAAAGAUAAUUUGACUUUGAUCCUAAUUACUAUGUUGUAUAGAGGUGUUUUUAGCAUUAAGUGUUACAAAAGUUCAUACUACCGAGAUUCAACUGUAGUGGAUAUACUAAAGUAUUCGAAGAUUGAUAAAUCUUCGAAUGUCAAUCGAAACAUAAUAUUAAUGAAAAGUCCAAUAUCUAUAAUUACGAUUUACUGAUCUAUAUCAAACCAAAGAACAUAAAUUUAUUUUUCAUACUACCUUACAUCCUUCAGUGCUGCUAGUGCAGUUGAGUAUAUUCCAGGUAAACAAAUUAAAAUAACAUUAAAUCUUAUGUGGGAAAUAAAACAUUACAUUUAAUUUUUACUUCAAAUAGUAAUAAACAUUAUACAGUGGUUUAUUCAUAUUUAUUAUCAAUACAUUGUACAUUGAUUCUAUCUUUGUUAAGUUUCUUAAGUGAAACAAAUAUAAAAAAUGACAAUUAACAUGCA